rnacentral:tRNA from 1 species
UCCUUCGGGGUGUAACUGGAAGCACGCCCGACUCGUAAUCGGGAGAUCAGGAGUUCGAACUCUGACAAAGGCA